AAUCUAUGGUGUGGGCAUUUUUGAAUCAAUAUUUUGAAACGUUCCCAUGCCUCAUAGAAACUUUCUCCCUCCAUAUGUGUAAAAACAACAAUCUCUCUUCUUAGUUG
rfam:Gossypium hirsutum cultivar TM-1 chromosome 25, whole genome shotgun sequence